GGGCGGUUAGCUCAGGGGUAGAGCGCUGCCUUCACACGGCAGAGGUCGAGGGUUCGAAACCCCCACCGCCCACCA
rnacentral:tRNA from 1 species